rnacentral:snRNA from 1 species
ACAAGAGUCUCCCAAACUCAGUGUGGAUACUUCCAUAAAGCUGUUCACACAGUUGAAGAGGAUGAUGUACCCCAAACACAGGAGGGCCUGUCUUAGAUCAAGGAUAUAUGAGUAGCUGUGCUUUUCUGCUAGAACCUCCAGAAAAGCUCUCAAGGUACUGGUAUAUUUUUAUGGCAGUAAAAUAACAAUGAUUAUGUAUU